AUUGAACGCUGGCGGCAGGCUUAACACAUGCAAGUCGAGCGGGGACUUCGGUCCUAGCGGCGAACGGGUGAGUAAUACCUGGGAAUCUGCCUGGUAGUGGGGGAUAACGUUUCGAAAGGGACGCUAAUACCGCAUACGUCCUACGGGAGAAAGGAGGGGAUCUUCGGACCUUCCGCUAUCAGAUGAGCCCAGGCCGGAUUAGCUAGUUGGUGGGGUAAGUGGCCCACCAAGGCAACGAUCCGUAGCUGGUCUGAGAGGAUGAUCAGCCACACUGGAACUGAGACACGGUCCAGACUCCUACGGGAGGCAGCAGUGGGGAAUAUUGGACGAAAUGGGGGAAACCCGUACGAUCCAGCCAUGCCGCGUGUGUGAAGAAGGCCCUU
rnacentral:rRNA from 1 species